GCGGUAGUAACUCAGUUGGUAGAGCGUUAGCCUUCCAAGCUAAAAGUCGAGGGUUCGAACCCCUUCUACCGCU
rnacentral:tRNA from 1 species